rnacentral:rRNA from 1 species
GGCGAACGCUGGCGGCGUGCUUAACACAUGCAAGUCGAACGGAAAGGCCCUUCGGGGUCCUCGAGUGGCGAACGGGUGAGUAACACGUGGGUGAUCUGCCCUGCACUUUGGGAUAAGCCUGGGAAACUGGGUCUAAUACCGAAUAGGACCACGCGCUUCAUGGUGUGUGGUGGAAAGCUUUUGCGGUGUGGGAUGGGCCCGCGGCCUAUCAGCUUGUUGGUGGGGUAAUGGCCUACCAAGGCGACGACGGGUAGCCGGCCUGAGAGGGUGACCGGCCACACUGGGACUGAGAUACGGCCCAGACUCCUACGGGAGGCAGCAGUGGGGAAUAUUGCACAAUGGGCGCAAGCCUGAUGCAGCGACGCCGCGUGAGGGAUGACGGCCUUCGGGUUGUAAACCUCUUUCAAUAGGGACGAAGCGCAAGUGACGGUACCUAUAGAAGAAGCACCGGCCAACUACGUG